CAUCUAGCUACAUUAACGAUUUGUUGGUCAAGGUUGAAUGAGGACCCAUUGGAAGUCAUUCAAAAUCUACCUAGCUUAUGGAAGCUCAGAAUCUCAUACCAAGCAUACAAUGGAGAGCAAUUGCACUUUAAGGUAGGAGGGUUUCCAAAACUCAAGGAGCUAUGCCUUGUCGGUUUAAAUGCAGUGCAUUCAUUGUUCAUAGAUGAAGAAGCAUUGCCUCUUCUUGAAGAUCUUCUCAUUGGGCUUAGUCCGCUACUAAAAGAGGUGCCUUUUGGAAUCCAACAUCUGAGAAACCUCAAAGUAUUGAGAAUUGUGGACUUGCCUAAAGAAUUAGAAGAAAGUUUGGAUCCUGAACAAGGGUCAAAUUACUGGAUUGUUGAGCAUGUUCCAGCCAUUUAUCUCCACCACAAGGUGCGCACAGGAAUUUAUGGCUAUGACACCCAGAUUCUCCGUUCCUAGCAUUUGAUGCUGUCAAGAGUGCAAACAACCAACUAGAAUGAUGGUCAUAACGAGAAUGACAGCAACAGUAUCAAUGUUUUAGUUGAGAAAGCACUUUCACUUUCAAGAAGAUGGCUCCAAAGGCCAUAUAGGAAAUCAGGAAGUUUGCCCAAAAGGCCAUGGGAACAACUGAUGUCAGAGUGGAUGUUAAUUGUUAAGCUUAUCAAGCAUGUCUGGAGCCAUGGGAUUCAGAGUGUGCCAAGGAGAGUUCGUGUCCGCAUUGCGCGUAACAGAAAUGAAGAAGAUGAGGAGUUUUUCUACACUAGUCACUAUUGCAGAGAUCCCUCCAAAGGGCCUAAAGGGGUUGGGCACCAUUGUAUUUAUGUUACAGAGUUGUUAUUUCUACAAAAUUUGGGUUACUGUUGUUUCUUAAUACCUCAAGGAGCUUCCUAUAAAUUUCUCUUUAGAAUUUUAUAAAAUCAUCAUGCAAUAUCAAUUAAAUUAUUAUUUAGUUAA